rnacentral:rRNA from 1 species
GAUGAACGCUGGCGGCGUGCUUAACACAUGCAAGUCGAACGGAAAGGCCCUGCUGUUGUGGGGCGCUCGAGUGACGAACGGAGAAGUAACACGUGAGUAACCUGCCCUUGACUUUAGGAUAACUUCAUGAAACUUGGGCUGAUACCGUAUAGUAGCUCCUGCUUCAUGGUGGGGGUUGGAGAGUUUCGGCGGUUGGGGCUGGACUCGCGGCUUAUCAGUUUGUUUGUGGGGUAGUGGCUUACCAAGGCUUUGACGGGUAGCCGGGCUGAGAGGGGGACCGGGCACAUUGGGACUGAGAUAACGCCCAGACUCCUACGGGAAGCAGGAGUGGGGAAUAUUGCACAAUGGGCGGAAGACUGAUGCAGCAAAGUCGCGUGCGGGAUGAGGGCUUUUGGGUUGUAAAACGCUUUCGCAUGUGACGAAGAGAGAGUGACGGUAAUGGGUAAAGAAGCAACGGCUAACUACGUG